AUUGAACGCUGGCGGCAGGCCUAACACAUGCAAGUCGAGCGGUUGAAGGGCGCUUGCUCCUGGAUUCAGCGGCGGACGGGAGAGUAAUGCCUAGGAAUAUUCCUGGUAGUGCGGCAUAACGUUCGCAGCCGGGCGCUAAUACCGCUUACGUCCUGAGGGAGUCUGUGGGGUAGUUUCCGACCUCACGCUAUCACAUUAGCUUAGGUCGGAUUAGCUAGUUGGUGGGGCAAAGGCCCACCUAGGCGACGUUCCGUAACUGGUCUGAGAGGAUGAUCAGUCACACUGGAACUGAGACACGGUCCAGACACCUACAGGAGGCGGCAGUGGGGAAUAUUGGACAAUGGGGGAAAGCCUGUUCCAGCCAUGCCGCGUGUGUGAAGAAGGUCUUCGGAUUGUAAAACACUUUAAGUUGGGAGGAAGGGCAGUAAGUUAAUACCUUGCUGUUUUGACGUUACCAACAGAAUAAGCGCCGGCUAACUUCGUG
rnacentral:rRNA from 1 species